AACGAACGCUGGCGGCAUGCCUAACACAUGCAAGUCGAACGGGAUCCUAGCUUGCUAGGUGAGAGUGGCGGACGGGUGAGUAACACGUGGGAAUCUGCCUUUUGGUUCGGGAUAACCGCGGGAAACUGCGGCUAAUACCGAAUGCCCUCGAGAGAGGAAAGGUUUAUCGCCAGAAGAGGAGCCCGCGUCCGAUUAGGUAGUUGGUGGGGUAAAGGCCUACCAAGCCGACGAUCGGUAGCUGGUCUGAGAGGAUGAUCAGCCACACUGGGACUGAGAUACGGCCCAGACUCCUACGGGAGGCAGCAGUGGGGAAUAUUGGACAAUGGGGGCAACCCUGAUCCAGCAAUGCCGCGUGAGUGAUGAAGGCCUUAGGGUUGUAAAGCUCUUUUGCCAGGGAAGAUGAUGACUGUACCUGGAGAAUAAGCCCCGGCUAACUUCGUGCCAGCAGCCGCGGUAAU
rnacentral:rRNA from 1 species